GCUUAUGGAGGGGGAUAACUACGGGAAACUGUAGCUAAUACCGCGUAAUAUCGAAAGAUUAAAGUGUGGGACCUUCGGGCCACAUGCCAUAGGAUGAGCCCAAGUGGGAUUAGGUAGUUGGUGAGGUAAAGGCUCACCAAGCCGACGAUCUCUAGCUGGUCUGAGAGGAUGACCAGCCACACUGGGACUGAGACACGGCCCAGACUCCUACGGGAGGCAGCAGUGGGGAAUAUUGCGCAAUGGGGGGCAACCCUGACGCAGCCAUGCCGCGUGAAUGAAGAANNNCUUCGGGUUGUAAAGUUCUUUCGGUAGCGAGGAAGNNGGUUAGUUUAAUAGGCUAGCCAAUUGACGUUAACUACAGAAGAAGCACCGGCUAACUCCGUGCCAGCAGCCGCGGUAAUACGGAGGGUGCGAGCGUUAAUCGGAAUAACCGGGCGUAAAGGGCACGCAGGCGGACUUUUAAGUGAGGUGUGAAAGCCCCGGGCUUAACCUGGGAAUUGCAUUUCAGACUGGGAGUCUAGAGUACUUUAGGGAGGGGUAGAAUUCCACGUGUAGCGGUGAAAUGCGUAGAGAUGUGGAGGAAUACCGAAGGCGAAGGCAGCCCCUUGGGGAUGUACUGACGCUCAUGUGCGAAA
rnacentral:rRNA from 1 species